AAUCAACGCUGGCGGCGUGCCUAACACAUGCAAGUCGAACGCGAAAACCCCGCAAGGGUUAGUAGAGUGGCAAACGGGUGAGUAACACGUGGGUGACCUGCCUUCGAGUGGGGGAGUAACGUCCCGAAAGGGACGCUAAUACCGCAUGACAUCCUGCCUUUGAAGAGGCGGAGAUCAAAGCUGGGGACCGCAAGGCCUAGCGCUUGAAGAGGGGCCCGCGCCUGAUUAGCUAGUUGGUGGGGUAANGGCUCACCAAGGCAACGAUCAGUAUCCGGCCUGAGAGGGCGGACGGACACACUGGGACUGAGACACGGCCCAGGCUCCUACGGGAGGCAGCAGUGGGGAAUUGUUCGCAAUGGGCGCAAGCCUGACGACGCAACGCCGCGUGGA
rnacentral:rRNA from 1 species